CCUACGGGAGGCAGCAGUAGGGAAUAUUGGACAAUGGGGGCAACCCUGAUCCAGCAAUGCCGCGUGAGUGAUGAAGGCCUUAGGGUUGUAAAGCUCUUUUACCCGGGAUGAUAAUGACAGUACCGGGAGAAUAAGCCCCGGCUAACUCCGUGCCAGCAGCCGCGGUAAU
rnacentral:rRNA from 1 species